UUAUCCUAUUUUAAAUUAGCCUGCGCGCAGACUAUAUAUUCACAUAUAUAUGUGAAUAUAUAGUCUGCGCGCAGGCUAAUUUUAAAUAUCUUACAA
rnacentral:miRNA from 1 species